GACGAACGCUGGCGGCGUGCUUAACACAUGCAAGUCGAACGGAAAGGCCCUGCUUGCGGGGUGCUCGGGUGGGGAACGGGCGAGUAACACGUGGGUGAGGAGCCCGUUACUGUGGGGGAGGCCACGUAAAGUGGGGCUAGUACAGGAUAGGACCAAGCUGUAGGUGGAGGGGUGGAGAGAGAAGGUUCGGUUAGGGAUGAGCUCGCGGAGUAUCAGCUUGUUGGUGGGGGAAUGGCCUACCAAGGCGUCGACGGGUAGCCGCCCUGAGAGGGUGGACGGCCGCCUUGGGCCUCUGCUGCGGCCCAGAGUCCUACGGCUGGCGGCAGUGGGGAAAGUCGCACCGUGCGCGGCCGCCUGAUGCAGCGACGUCGCCUGGGGGUUGACGGCCUUCGGGUUGUAAACUCCUUGCAGCCAUGACGAAGCCCUUGUGGUGACGGUAGUGGUAGAAGAAGCACCGGCUAACUACGUG
rnacentral:rRNA from 1 species